UACGUAGGUGGCGAGCGUUGUCCGGAUUUACUGGGCGUAAAGGGAGCGUAGGCGGACUUUUAAGUGAGAUGUGAAGUACCCGGGCUCAACUUGGGUGCUGCAUUUCAAACUGGAAGUCUAGAGUGCAGGAGAGGAGAAUGGAAUUCCUAGUGUAGCGGUGAAAUGCGUAGAGAUUAGGAAGAACACCAGUGGCGAAGGCGGUUCUCUGGACUGUAACUGACGCUGAGGCUCGAAAGCGUGGGGAGCAAACAGGAUUAGAUACCCGGGUAGUCCCU
rnacentral:rRNA from 1 species